UUUCGGACUGAGAUUAAAGAUCUGGCCAAGUACACAUAUAAAAAUAAAGAAAAAAAGAAAUAGUUUCUUUAACAGUGAAAGAAACACCGGAGAAUCCUAACGUCUCUGUGGAAGAGGAAGUGACAUCAGGGAAACCGGUGACUGCUACCUGUGCCGUGUCUCAUUCCUGUCCCUCAGACCUGCCUAAAGUCACCUGGAGCCAUGAUGGCAAACAAUCGAGUCCAUCACAGCCACAGAAUCAUGGUCAAUGGAAGCUUACAUCUUACAGCCUGACCUUCACUCCUUCUAGAGAAGACCACAACAAACAUCUCAGCUGCACUGCAGAGUUUAAAGGGAAGACAGUGACAGACUACAAAACACUCAAAGUUAAAUGUAAGUCUGCAAUGUGAGUUAAAAAUAAAUAAAUGAUUAGACGCUAAUUCAAGUCUUAUUAGCUUUUAAUGAUUUUAGGAGUGUGAUUUACAACCUUUUUGACUCUAAAGCCCCCACUGUCCAACACAAUAGUCAAAUGCAGUAUUUCUGCAGUAAUAAUGAUAAAAAUGUUUGUUUUCAAAAUUUUGAGUUUCAAAACUGUCAUAACCACAAUUAAUUUUGUGAUUUCAGAUGUUCAAGAACUAUUUUUUCUUUCAAAAUAAUACUAUUUGAGGGGCAAAGAAAAUAAAUUUGUUUUGUUUUUAAUUCUUGAUUUUAUUUUGUUUAAUUACAUUUAUUUAAAUUAUUUUACUAUAUUAAUUAUGUUAAUAAUGAUAUAUUAAUCUUGAUAAUUUCAAGUGGUCCUGUGAUCAAACUGAAAGUUUGCAGAGGCCCCCUAUAGUUGAAAACCUUAUUCGAAAACUGAAGUUUGAAUAAAAAGCAUCUAUUACUGUUUUUCUCGAUUGCUAAAACACUAUAACCAGGCUUUUGAACUAUAAUUUAAAAACCAUAACAUCCUUUUUUUAAAGAGCACACCCAUUCCCCUAAACUAUAAACACUAUUCCCCUGCUUUGACACAUGAGUCAGAUUUGGUGAACUAUUACUGCAAAACUCUACACACAAAUCAUUACAUUUCUCAGUGCUUACACCAUGUGGUUACUUACAAAGCACUAGCAUUCCAUAUUGUUCACUCAAGUCAGCACAGUUUGAGCUCAAUUAGCACACAAUUACCCAAAUGGAAAUUCUAGAAGUCAAAAUUUAUCACACCCCAAUCAGAAC
rnacentral:lncRNA from 1 species